CACUCUUGUUUCUCUUCACGAUCGAAAAUCUUCUUUCGCCUUUACUAAAGAUUUCCGUGGGAGAGGAAACACAGAGGUUAAUCAAUUUUUUUGAUGCCUGCUUCUGGGGCAGAAU
rnacentral:snRNA from 1 species